GCGAAAUCUGUUUUCUUUUAUUGUGCCUGUGUGCAUCAUUCAAAAUUAGAGAAUGUAAUUUUGAAGUAUCAAGUCUCAAUUCAAGAUUAAGAAUGAAUAGAAUAUAGAAUUACGAGGGGGGGGAGGGGUAGGACCUUUAUCGGAACUCCGGGAUCCGGGAAUUCUUUUUCCGAAUUUCGGGUAGUCGGGAUUUGACUUUUUUUUAAUUUGGGACCUCGCCGGAUUUCGUGUUUUUAAGCCCGGGAUUUCAGGAUCUGGAUCCCUCCUCCCCUCCUCCCUCUAUUAUGGUUAAAGAAAAUAGGUCAGGGAAGUUUUGUGAUACUUGUAACUGCAAUUUAAUAUUCAGUGGAAUGAGCGGUGAAAUGUGUUCAGACUAUUACAUUUCGAUGUUUUUUUUAAAUUUAACCAAAGUUUACUGCAAGGGGUGUUUAACGACCUCGAUGAUUAUCCAUGAGGAUCUCGCACUCGGUCAGCUCUAGGUUUUCACCUAGUUCAUUAUCAUACAAGAAUUUAGAAGCCUGUGGUUACUAGUCUUAUAAUAUGAGAUUUUGGAGUUCAUAUAAUUAACAUUCAACAUUUUUUAUCGAAUAUUUCAAGGCUUUUUGACUAUCAAUGUUGACCCCCCCCCCCCCCCUUUUCCAAUUGAUUGGAUAAAACGAAUGGAUUGCCGCCCCUAUUUCAAACUGAAGUCCUAUAAACUGACUGGUAUUCGAAUUUGUUAAAAGAAAUAAUUGGUAUCUCUAUUGAUUCAAUACCGUAAUGCCAAAAAUUUGUUUCCGCGAAUUCCGAACAGCUAGAAAUAGAAGCCCUUUCCAUGUCCGAUUUUCUCCCACACGAGAAAUGUAGCAUUCGUACAUCAGCUGAAAAAUACGACUGAAUUAUUCGGGUUACAAUUUGUGUAAAUCCCGAAUGCACAUAAAAGUAAAGGUCCAGCCCGACUUUCGGAAAUGGACUGUUGUAGAUUUCAGAUUGAUUUCCAGAAAUAAAAAUCAUACAAAAAUGUUUCACGCAAAUAUUCGUCUUCAGACGUGUAAAGUUAUACAACGGUUACUAGCGGUCUGGAUUGUGAUAAAAAGAAGCGCAUGCGAUGCAUAAAAUAUAUAAUGUCGUGGCUCAGGGAUGUGUGUUGAAUUAUAGAGAUGCUUAUGCGGCACAAAGAUAAGAUUAAUUUACCCAAAUGUACUAAGAAUUACCACACAACUUAAAUUUACUUAAAUAUUGAUUUGUUAUCCUGUGCCAGACAGAUGGCUGAUAUUCUGAGAAGAGACGUUGAUGAAAUGAAGUUUUAUGAGAACAAAGAUUUUGAAAACACGUCGCAGUGUUUAGAUUUUAACAAAAAAUAAGGCACCGAAGUCGAAAAUAGUUCUAGUUUAUAAUGAAGAAAAUGUCAACCGUUUUCUAGCUUGGCGAUCUCCGCACGCACCCGAAUAUAAUAGACAAAUACAAUACAAUAGUACACAAAACGUAACAUAAAGAACUUAAGACCGAGCAACACGAACUCCAACAAAACGGUAUAUAUUUCAUACAAGUAUUAUGGACUAUAUGAAGCGUCGUAACUGUUGCGGCGACGUCAAUAACGUUGUCGUUGUUUUUUGUUCUUUUUUACACUCAAGAUUCAACUUUAACAGGGUAUAGCUUGAAAAGUAGCACGGUUGCUAAGGACUUUCUUUGCACCAAUCGAUUCCUCAGACAUUUUAGAAUCGUCUCAUAAAUUUUAAAAAAAAUCGAUUGUCUAAUAUAAUAGAAAAUCUUGGAAAUGUAACAAUUCCUGCCGAAUUUCACGAUUUUCCCUAUAUAUCCUUUGUAAUUUUGGUGUAUGAUGCUGUUAACUUCAACAGCUCGUAUCUCAAAAACGAAAACGGUUACCCCCUUUUUUUAUUUUAUUUUCCGAUUUAUUUUUACAAGCAGAAUCUACAUGUAAAAUUUAAAAAAAAUCCAUUGUGUAGUUUAAUUACGUACACUUCG
rnacentral:lncRNA from 1 species